UUUAAGACCAGCCUAGCCAACAUGGCGAGACCAUGUCUCUACUAAAAAUACAAAAAUUUGCCGGGCAUGGUGGCACAUGCCUGUAAUCCCAGCUUCUUGGGAGACUGAGGCACGAGAAUCACCUGAACCCAGGAGGCAGAGGUUACAGUGAGCCGGGAUCCCGCCACUGCACUGCAGCCUGGGCUUCUGGGUGACAGAGCGAGACUCUGUCUCAAACAAAUGAACAGAAAAAGAAGAAAGGAAUUUGGACACAAAGACACAGGUAGUGGGUCUCCUAUCUAUAUAAGAGAACAGCAUGUAAUGACACAGAGGCACACACAGAAAAGAAGGCGAGUUGAAGACAGAGGCAGAGAAUGGGUUUAUGCUGCCGCAAGCCAAGGUUGGAGCUGCCGGCAGCCGGAAAAGGCAGGAAAGAAUUCUUCCCAAGAGCCUUCUGAGGAAGCACGGCCCUGCCAACACCUUGAUUUCAGACUUCUAACCUCCAGAACUGUAAGAAAAAGAAAUUCUGUGUUCUAAGCCACCCAGGUUUGUGGUAGUUUGACUCUCUUCACUCCACCCUGUGAGGGGCAUGAUGACCCCUAUUUUAUGGAUAAGGAAACUGAGGGGCACCAGUAUUUUUCUGCUUCACUCCUGUGGGUUAUCUCACUACCUUUCUGUGGAGACCACUGUUCUAGAUGAUGAAUUCCUGGAAAGUAAGACCUCAGCCUUUCCAUCUUUGCUGUCGCCCAGCCCCAGCACAGUGUCCCAACAGUGCUUGUGGAAUAAAAAUUAUGAUUGUAUAAAUUGA
ensembl:lncRNA C4B-AS1 C4B antisense RNA 1